ensembl:misc_RNA 7SK 7SK RNA
AGGUGGGGUGAAAGCCAUCUGGCUGUGACAUGUCACCCCAUGGAUCACCAGGGUUGAUUCGGCUGAUCUGGCUGGCUAGGAGGGUGUCCCUUCCUCCCUCCCCCCUCUGUGUGCAUCUCUCCUAAAGAUGCUGGGUCACAGAGGACGACCAUCCUGGAUGGAGGAGGACCGUUCCUUGGUCAAGGGCAUACAAGUAACUUGGUUCCCCUGCCAAGCACACUCUCAAGGGAUCCAUAGAUUCUGUGGGUUCUGAACCAUUAACGGUCAGAAGUUCCUUCAGGCUGAUGGAUAUGAUAAAAUUAAAUGAAAAUAGAAUCUGAAAUU